rnacentral:rRNA from 1 species
GGGAAAGGCGAAAAGAACCCCGGCGAGGGGAGUGAAAAAGAACCUGAAACCGUGUACGUACAAGCAGUGGGAGCCUCUUAAUGGGGUGACUGCGUACCUUUUGUAUAAUGGGUCAGCGACUUAUAUUCUGUAGCAAGGUUAACCGAAUAGGGGAGCCGAAGGGAAACCGAGUCUUAACUGGGCGCUAAGUUGCAGGGUAUAGACCCGAAACCCGGUGAUCUAGCCAUGGGCAGGUUGAAGGUUGGGUAACACUAACUGGAGGACCGAACCGACUAAUGUUGAAAAAUUAGCGGAUGACUUGUGGCUGGGGGUGAAAGGCCAAUCAAACCGGGAGAUAGCUGGUUCUCCCCGAAAGCUAUUUAGGUAGCGCCUCGUGAAUUCAUCUCCGGGGGUAGAGCACUGUUUCGGCAAGGGGGUCAUCCCGACUUACCAACCCGAUGCAAACUGCGAAUACCGGAGAAUGUUAUCACGGGAGACACACGGCGGGUGCUAACGUCCGUCGUGAAGAGGGAAACAACCCAGACCGCCAGCUAAGGUCCCAAAGUCAUGGUUAAGUGGGAAACGAUGUGGGAAGGCCCAGACAGCCAGGAUGUUGGCUUAGAAGCAGCCAUCAUUUAAAGAAAGCGUAAUAGCUCACUGGUCGAGUCGGCCUGCGCGGAAGAUGUAACGGGGCUAAACCAUGCACCGAAGCUGCGGCAGCGACACUAUGUGUUGUUGGGUAGGGGAGCGUUCUGUAAGCCUGUGAAGGUGGCCUGUGAGGGUUGCUGGAGGUAUCAGAAGUGCGAAUGCUGACAUAAGUAACGAUAAAGCGGGUGAAAAGCCCGCUCGCCGGAAGACCAAGGGUUCCUGUCCAACGUUAAUCGGGGCAGGGUGAGUCGACCCCUAAGGCGAGGCCGAAAGGCGUAGUCGAUGGGAAACAGGUUAAUAUUCCUGUACUUGGUGUUACUGCGAAGGGGGGACGGAGAAGGCUAUGUUGGCCGGGCGACGGUUGUCCCGGUUUAAGCGUGUAGGCUGGUUUUCCAGGCAAAUCCGGAAAACCAAGGCUGAGGCGUGAUGACGAGGCACUACGGUGCUGAAGCGACAAAUGCCCUGCUUCCAGGAAAAGCCUCUAAGCAUCAGGUAACAUCAAAUCGUACCCCAAACCGACACAGGUGGUCAGGUAGAGAAUACCAAGGCGCUUGAGAGAACUCGGGUGAAGGAACUAGGCAAAAUGGUGCCGUAACUUCGGGAGAAGGCACGCUGAUAUGUAGGUGAAGCGACUUGCUCGUGGAGCUGAAAUCAGUCGAAGAUACCAGCUGGCUGCAACUGUUUAUUAAAAACACAGCACUGUGCAAACACGAAAGUGGACGUAUACGGUGUGACGCCUGCCCGGUGCCGGAAGGUUAAUUGAUGGGGUUAGCGGUAACGCGAAGCUCUUGAUCGAAGCCCCGGUAAACGGCGGCCGUAACUAUAACGGUCCUAAGGUAGCGAAAUUCCUUGUCGGGUAAGUUCCGACCUGCACGAAUGGCGUAAUGAUGGCCAGGCUGUCUCCACCCGAGACUCAGUGAAAUUGAACUCGCUGUGAAGAUGCAGUGUACCCGCGGCAAGACGGAAAGACCCCGUGAACCUUUACUAUAGCUUGACACUGAACAUUGAGCCUUGAUGUGUAGGAUAGGUGGGAGGCUUUGAAGUGUGGACGCCAGUCUGCAUGGAGCCGACCUUGAAAUACCACCCUUUAAUGUUUGAUGUUCUAACGUGGGCCCGUAAUCCGGGUUGCGGACAGUGUCUGGUGGGUAGUUUGACUGGGGCGGUCUCCUCCUAAAGAGUAACGGAGGAGCACGAAGGUUGGCUAAUCCUGGUCGGACAUCAGGAGGUUAGUGCAAUGGCAUAAGCCAGCUUGACUGCGAGCGUGACGGCGCGAGCAGGUGCGAAAGCAGGUCAUAGUGAUCCGGUGGUUCUGAAUGGAAGGGCCAUCGCUCAACGGAUAAAAGGUACUCCGGGGAUAACAGGCUGAUACCGCCCAAGAGUUCAUAUCGACGGCGGUGUUUGGCACCUCGAUGUCGGCUCAUCACAUCCUGGGGCUGAAGUAGGUCCCAAGGGUAUGGCUGUUCGCCAUUUAAAGUGGUACGCGAGCUGGGUUUAGAACGUCGUGAGACAGUUCGGUCCCUAUCUGCCGUGGGCGCUGGAGAACUGAGGGGGGCUGCUCCUAGUACGAGAGGACCGGAGUGGACGCAUCACUGGUGUUCGGGUUGUCAUGCCAAUGGCACUGCCCGGUAGCUAAAUGCGGAAGAGAUAAGUGCUGAAAGCAUCUAAGCACGAAACUUGCCCCGAGAUGAGUUCUCCCUGAGACUUAGAGUCUCCUGAAGGAACGUUGAAGACGACGACGUUGAUAGGCCGGGUGUGUAAGCGCAGCGAUGCGUUGAGCUAACCGGUACUAAUGAACCGUGAGGCUUAACCUU